GAGUGAUUUAAAGCGUUCUGAUAACAACCAUUUUUUUUCCGUCAAGUGACUUGUGUGCAGUUUGAUAAAAAUAUUAUCUGUGAAUAAUACAGUGCAACAGAAUCUAUUUUAAACGUGAAGUGGCUGCCAUGUUGAAUAGUUGUUGCGCAAAAUCAACUUUUUUAAAAAUAUUUAUUCUAUUAUUGGAUGAUGCAUGUCGAAAUUUAUUUUUUCAAAAUCACUCGAGUACAGAGAUUGAACUAUAAUACAAGUUGUUGGUUUAAAUUGAGUAUGAUAUCAAUUAAAUUAUUUAUACCUAUAAUGACGAACAAGGUACUACAUUUUCCACCGAUACCACUAAAAAUAUGUUAACAAGAGCCGGAAAGAUCUUUCUCCUGAACAAUUUGUAGAUGGGAUACUCCAUCAAAUUCGGAGACAAUGGCCACAUCCGGAUAUACAUCUCGAAAACUCCAUGAAUAUAUUAUAUCUCUUACAUAUAUAAUUAAUAAUACACUAACACUUGUUAAAACCUAAUUAGGUCAUAUGGAAUAUACUUUUUGAGUCUCC